GAUGAACGCUGGCGGCGUGCCUAAUACAUGCAAGUCGAGCGAACAGAUAAGGAGCUUGCUCCUUUGACGUUAGCGGCGGACGGGUGAGUAACACGUGGGUAACCUACCUAUAAGACUGGAAUAACUCCGGGAAACCGGGGCUAAUGCCGGAUAACAUUUAGAACCGCAUGGUUCUAAAGUGAAAGAUGGUUUUGCUAUCACUUAUAGAUGGACCCGCGCCGUAUUAGCUAGUUGGUAAGGUAACGGCUUACCAAGGCAACGAUACGUAGCCGACCUGAGAGGGUGAUCGGCCACACUGGAACUGAGACACGGUCCAGACUCCUACGGGAGGCAGCAGUAGGGAAUCUUCCGCAAUGGGAGAAAGCCUGACGGAGCAACGCCGCGUGAGUGAUGAAGGUCUUAGGAUCGUAAAACUCUGUUAUUAGGGAAGAACAAAUGUGUAAGUAACUGUGCACGUCUUGACGGUACCUAAUCAGAAAGCCACGGCUAACUACGUG
rnacentral:rRNA from 1 species